AUUGAACGCUGGCGGCAUGCCUUACACAUGCAAGUCGAACGGCAGCACGGGUGCUUGCACCUGGUGGCGAGUGGCGAACGGGUGAGUAAUACAUCGGAACGUACCUUAUCGUGGGGGAUAACGCAGCGAAAGUUGCGCUAAUACCGCAUACGCCCUGAGGGGGAAAGCGGGGGACCGUAAGGCCUCGCGCGAUUAGAGCGGCCGAUGUCUGAUUAGCUUGUUGGUGAGGUGAAAGCUCCACAAGGCGAUGAUCAGUAGCUGGUCUGAGAGGACGAUAAGCCACACUGGGACUGAGACACGGACCAGACUCCUACGGGAGGCGGCAGUGGGGAAUUUUGGACAAUGGGGGCAACCCUGAUCCAGCAAUGCCGCGUGAGUGAAGAAGGCCUUCGGGUUGUAAAGCUCUUCCGUCAGGGAAGAAACAGCAGCUCUAACACAGUCUGCGAAUGACGGUACCUGAAGAAUAAGCACCGGCUAACUACGUGCCAGCAGCCGCCGUAA
rnacentral:rRNA from 1 species